rnacentral:rRNA from 1 species
GACGAACGCUGGCGGCGUGCCUAAUACAUGCAAGUCGAGCGAAUCAAUAGGGGCUUGCUCCUGUUGGUUAGCGGCGGACGGGUGAGUAACACGUGGGCAACCUGCCUGUAAGACUGGGAUAACACCGGGAAACCGGUGCUAAUACCGGAUAAUCCUUUUCCUCUCAUGAGGAAAAGCUGAAAGCCGGUUUCGGCUGACACUUACAGAUGGGCCCGCGGCGCAUUAGCUAGUUGGUGAGGUAAUGGCUCACCAAGGCGACGAUGCGUAGCCGACCUGAGAGGGUGAUCGGCCACACUGGGACUGAGACACGGCCCAGACUCCUACGGGAGGCAGCAGUAGGGAAUCUUCCACAAUGGACGAAAGUCUGAUGGAGCAACGCCGCGUGAGCGAUGAAGGCCUUCGGGUCGUAAAGCUCUGUUGUUAGGGAAGAACAAGUACCGGAGUAACUGCCGGUACCUUGACGGUACCUAACCAGAAAGCCACGGCUAACUACGUGCCAGCAGCCGCAGUAACAC